rnacentral:snRNA from 1 species
UCAGCUCUCUUUGCCAUGACGGCUUAGAUCAAGUGUAGUAUCUGUUCUUUUCAGUUUAACAGCUGAAAAAGCCUUACUGAGGCUCUUCUGUUACGCUAAUUUUUGGCAACUUGGGCAGGGCGGUCGACUGAGCUCGUCUCGCGCGACCAUCCGUCCACGGUGUCCCUGGUAUUUCACUGCUUCCAGGCGACGCGAACCCAC